rnacentral:tRNA from 2 species
GCGCCCUUAGCUCAACCGGAUAGAGCACCCGCCUUCUAAGCGGACGGUUACAGGUUCGAGUCCUGUAGGGCGCGCCA